GCCAUGGCACUCACUCUAGCCUGGGCAACAGAGUGAGACUCUGUCUCAAAAAAGAAAAAGCAUUUCCCCUGAGACUUUUCUGCCAGAGCAUCUCUUUCCACCAGCACAUGAGCCCGGGGAAUCAGUGCACAUCUUGGUCGACAGGUAAAGAGAACAUCUGAACCAGCCUGAGCCUGGAAGAGGAGCCUGCCUGCCUGCUCGAUUAUGAACUCAGGUUACUCACUUAUGUCUGGCCUGUGAAGAACGCCUGACCCAGGCUCUCAUCGCACAGAGGAGCGUGCUGCGGCUGGGCGGGGACCAUUUCCAUCCUGGAAGAACCCCCUGGACCAUGCUUGGUUCAGUCUCCUUUGAGGACCCUGUGUAACUAUGUGGCUCCUCAGGGACUUACCAACCUCCUGAAGCCCCCCCUCCCCUGCACUACUCUGUCU